CUCAUCUGUAAAAUGGGAAUAAUAAGAGCACCUAUCUCCCAGGGUAGCCAUAAGGCUAAAAUGAGAUAAUAUUUGUAAAGAAUUUCCCAAAAUAACAAAAUGCUAUUGUUUGCUAUUAUUUCUAGGAGCAAAAUUCACAUUUAUGAGAUCACAGAUCAUUUUGAGUAUUUUAGAAUCCUAAAGAACUUUGAGGACAUAUGAUCUAGUGACAAGAACAAGAUGUGAAAUCAGAAGAACUUCAGUUUGAGUCCCUCCUCUUCCAUUUCCUUGAUGCAUGACAGUGGAUGAGGAAACUAAGGCCAACCGAAGUAAGUGUCUUGUCCAAGUUCUACAGUUGAUGGCAGAGCCAAGACUUAAAAGUCCAAUCUCUUGGGUACCAGGCCUGUGUGCUCUCUGCCAGACUGUGCAAAACAAGACAGCAUAGACUCAAAUGCUUCUUUGUGUUCAUUCAGACUUCAAGUCCUAUAGGAAGUAGGUCUGAG
rnacentral:lncRNA from 1 species